GACGAACGCUGGCGGCGUGCCUAAAACAUGCAAGUCGAACGAGGUAGCAAUACCUAGUGGCGAACGGCGGAGUAAUACAUGAACAACGUGCCCUGAAGUCCGGGACAAACGCAGAAAUGUCAUAAAUACCGGAUGUGGCCCCUUAUUGGCAUCAGUGAGGGAUUAAAUGGUUUUUCGUCUUCAGGAGCGGUUCAUGGCCUAUCAGGUAGUUGGUGGGGUAAUGGCCUACCAAGCCGACGACAGGUAGCGGGUCUGAGAGGAUGAUCCGCUCGAGUGGGACUGAGACACGGCCCACACACCUACGGGUGGCAGCAGUUGGGAAUCUUGCACAAUGGGGGAAACCCUGAUGCAGCGACGCCGCGUGGAGGAUGACGGAUCUAGGUCUGUAAACUCCUUUUUCAUGGAAAGACUUAGGACGGUACCAUGAGAAUAAGGACCGG
rnacentral:rRNA from 1 species